rnacentral:rRNA from 1 species
UACGGAGGAUGCAAGCGUUAUCCGGAAUGAUUGGGCGUAAAGCGUCCGCAGGUGGCUUUGUAAGUCUGCUGUUAAAGAGUGAGGCUCAACCUCAUAAGAGCAGUGGAAACUACAAGGCUAGAGUACGUUCGGGGCAGAGGGAAUUCCUGGUGUAGCGGUGAAAUGCGUAGAGAUCAGGAAGAACACCAGCGGCGAAAGCGCGUGACUGGGCCGGAACUGACACUCAUGGACGAAAGCUAGGGGAGCGAAAGGG